CUCAGCUUCUAAUCUAUUUCAAUUGCUUUCUAUUUUAUUAUGACUUAAUUUUUUAUUAUUCUUUUGGAUUUUGAUGAAUACGAAGUCAGGAAAUUUAGUCUGAAGCAGAGAUAGUGUGUAUCGACGCUGUGCGAAUUUGAUUCAAUAUGCACUCUGAUCGAAAGUGUUCUCUGCAAAAUCGAAUUCACAAGGGAAAGAUGGGCAGUUGUCUUUUAUUUUCAGUUGAUUUGUCAACAAUCAUCUUACCUACACUUUCUGAAAAUUUCUCCAAUCUUCUUUUUCUCCAAUUUUUGUCAAAUUUUCAUUUUUAGCGCACUUGCUUUUUUACUGCGCAUCAAUGACCGAAAGUGAAGAUUUUUUUGAUUUAUUAAUUCUAUUGCAAUUAGUUUUCACAGCAAAUGGCACUAUGUUUCAAAGGCUGCGCCAAUAUUCUGUAAAGAAUAAGAAUGGGAUAGUCUUUGAACAAAUGUGCAUAAAUUAAAUGCCGAGUUGAGCUCGGCGGCGGCCAGACAACCGUUGAGAUGGAUCCACAGAUCAGCGCCGCUCUAUCUACGGUGCUUGUCUACUAAAUCCAUCUCAAAUUCUCUUCNAAUUAUAAUGAUUUCCCCUAUCUUCUUGAUUAAUUUAUUAUGGUUUUUCUGGAUUUGGUUUCUAACGAAUCAGUUAAGAAUUUUUGCCUCGUUUGCAUUCUUAAAUAAGUAUUUCACAUGUCUGUAUUUUCCAGUGUUGUGAAUCUUGUAAUGACUGCCAUACAAGAUGUUCGAUGCUUGUUAUAUGGUAUUCCAAGUUGGUAAUGAACUGUGUUUGAUUUCUGGUGACGAUGAGGUCUUAUAUUGAUUUUCCCCUAUGCUCAUAAGUUAAAUCAGUUUGAAAUGGCCUGUAUGUUUCAACUAUCUCUACCGUUUUCCUUCAACUUGUUUAUGCAUUCAUAAGUGUUUGAUGUGUAUGAUAAAAGCUCUUAUUGUGCUGAGAGCCUACGAGAUGCUGCUCAGUUAGUCAGUUACUAGGAUUGGUGAAAAUUUAAAUCAAAUUAAAUUAAUAAUGCAAUGUUGUUUCUUUUAUUACGGUUUGGCCUUGUUUCUUGUUUCAAUAAAUUUCUACUUUUUUGUGAUUCUGACAGAAGUGAAUGUUGUAGCAGCUUACUUGUUGGCUGUGUUGGGUGGCAAUGUCUCCCCUCUGCUGAUGAUAUUUCCGGCAUCCUCGGCUCAGGUUAACAUCUACUUUAUGCGUUCAUUUAUUUUAGGGCUGUUUGGAUUUGCACAUAAGAGUCCUGGACUUGUUUAUAUCUACAUGCGUUUAGUUUUUUUUGUAUAAAUUAUAUAAGAAGAUACAGAAAUUUAAAGAUUGCGCAAUGGAGGGCUCAACUCAAGACUUUAGGUCUUAGACAUUAACUUCCUAUCGUUUUGCCAACACAUGUACACAUGUGUUUUGUUUUUAAUUGCUUUAGGAGAUGUUUAUGCCUUUGGUGUCUUAUGAGCUGCAGAGAUACAAAAUUGCUAAUUAGCAUUUCUAAGUAAAUUCUUCAUUGUUGCUAUAAUUGAGAUUGAAGUGUCAUAGAUGUUUUUUUGGCCUUAGUGUCAUAAAUAUUGUUCUUCUAAAACUAUUUAUGUGUCAGUUGUAGCUGACGUCGAUAAGGAAAUAGUUGAAUUGCUUGUCUCAAGUUGGCGGUAUAGAUAUUAUUGAGUUGAUUGCUGCUGGAAGGAAGAAAUUGGUUAUCUAUUUCUUUUGCAGGAUAUGAGUUUUGGUCUCUUUGACUAAGAAAAUUGCAAAACAUUUUCUAUUGCAACUGUCUGUGUCUUUGUUGUAGUAGAAAAUUCUCUUUUUUAUGACUUUGGCUUAGUUUUUAGUUGGAAAAGAAUUUGUUUUUGUUGUAGUAUUUUUUUUUAUGAUUUUGGCUUAGUUUUUAGUUCGAGAAAAAUUUGUUGCUUCAACGAGUCCAUUGCACAAUGAAGAUAUAAUACUAUCAAUUUUGAAUUUCAUAUGUUGUGUUGAAUUAAUGUAGCUCUACUUGUUGAGCUCCUAUUUUGCAAGAUUGUUUUUCUGUUGGAAAUGUCUUAUUUGAUUUGAGUUAAAGCAUUGACAUCGGUUGACUCAUUUGGGGGGUCCUGAGUUGAUUUUCUAAUGAGUCGGCUGAUGUAAGUUGUCGUCGACUCAAGGUUGACUCUUCAUGAUAAGCUUGACUAAUCCGUCUAAAUGCAAGGUGCGUGCAAUGCAUGCGUUGUAUAUAAAAAAAUCUGAUUUUCAAUGUUUGGCUGCAUUGCCCAUUUUUUAUUUUUAUUUUUAUUUUU
rnacentral:lncRNA from 1 species